GAUGAACGCUGGCGGCGUGCCUAAUACAUGCAAGUCGAGCGCCUUCACAGUUUGCUCAAUCAAGCCAGGUCCUCUCAAAUUUCUUCGAAAUUUGAGAGAUCAAUCACGAAGUGAUUGAAGGCCUGGCGCACCUCUCUACAUCAAGUAGUUUUCUACAAUUAAUUAGAGAGGCAGAUUGAGGAAAGUGUGAAGGAGCGGCGGACGGCAGAGUAACGCGUAGGAACGUACCCCAAAGUGAGGGAUAAGCACCGGAAACGGUGUCUAAUACCGCAUGUGAUCUUCGGAUUAAAGCUUUAGCGCUUUGGGAGCGGCCUGCGUAUGAUUAGCUUGUUGGUGAGGUAAUGGCUCACCAAGGCGACGAUCAUUAGCUGGUCUGAGAGGAUGAU
rnacentral:rRNA from 1 species